GCACUGCUGAGGAGUCCCACAAUAGGACGAAAGGGCCAUCCUGUGC
rnacentral:hammerhead_ribozyme from 1 species